UAUUCUUUCUAGGUAGCACAGACAACACCUGGAGGGCAGUUCAGAGGGGAGGGUCCUGGUGUUAUAAAUUCAUACUCAGUUAAAAGUUGUAACCCAGGUCGGUGGUUGAGAGUUGCCUUCCAGAGCUUUGACAAUUUACACAUCUUAUAUGAGAAUUUAAGAGCUAUACUGCCAUUUCCACAGGACUGAAUGAAUCACAAACAUCAAACUCAAGGGGUUUACAACUGUGACCAAAAACAGGUUUGCUGGUUAUGCAAGGAUCCAGUCAAAUCAAGCCCUGAAGGUCGAUGGGAAACAAGAGUUUCCAGCAGAAAUGUGGAUGGGGAAUAACAUUCUGAGCGAGGUCUAAGGUAGAGGAAUUAGAGUCCCACACAACUUCUCAAUGGGAAUGAGGUCCAAGAAAUCCUGGAUUUUCUAUGCAAGGUGUGAAAGUCUCAUGAGAGGGACCUUCCUUAGAAGAGAAAAAUGAACAUGUACACAUACCUGGCAGUCUGCCGAAUAAGGAUGACCACGAGAUCA